GCCCGGCUGGCCGAGCGGUACGCGGCGGGCGGCCGGGGGCUGCCCGCGGCGCUGGCGGGCUGGCAGUUCAGCCGCCGCCCGAUGC
rnacentral:tRNA from 1 species